ensembl:misc_RNA Metazoa_SRP Metazoan signal recognition particle RNA
GCCAGGUGUGGUGGCUCACACCUGUAAUCCCAGCACUUUGGGAGGCCGAGGUGGGUGGAUCACCUGAGGUCAGGAAUUCAAGACUAGCCUGGCCAACAUGGCGAAACCCUGUCUCUACUAAAAAUACAAAAAUUAGCCGGGCGUGGUGGUGCAUGCCUGUAAUCCCAGCUACUCGGAAAGUUGAGGCACUUUGGGAGGCCGAGGCAGGUGGAUCACCUGAGGUCAGAAGCUCAAGGCCAGCCUGACCAACAUGGUGAAACCCCAUCUCU